GACUAGCCGGUGGACAAACCGGAGGAAGGUGGGGAUGACGUCAAGUCAUCAUGGCCCUUACGGCCUGGGCUACACACGUGCUACAAUGGUCGGUACAAAGGGUUGCCAAGCCGCGAGGUGGAGCUAAUCCCAUAAAACCGAUCGUAGUCCGGAUCGCAGUCUGCAACUCGACUGCGUGAAGUCGGAAUCGCUAGUAAUCGUGAAUCAGAAUGUCACGGUGAAUACGUUCCCGGGCCUU
rnacentral:rRNA from 1 species